rnacentral:rRNA from 1 species
GACGAACGCUGGCGGCGUGCUUAACACAUGCAAGUCGAACGGAAAGGCCCUGCUUUUGUGGGGUGCUCGAGUGGCGAACGGGUGAGUAACACGUGAGUAACCUGCCCUUGACUUUGGGAUAACUUCAGGAAACUGGGGCUAAUACCGGAUAGGAGCUCCUGCUGCAUGGUGGGGGUUGGAAAGUUUCGGCGGUGGGGGAUGGACGCGCGGCUUAUCAGCUUGUUGGUGGGGUAGUGGCUUACCAAGGCUUUGACGGGUAGCCGGCCUGGGAGGGUGACCGGCCACAUUGGGACUGAGAUACGGCCCAGACUCCUACGGGAGGCAGCAGUGGGGAAUAUUGCACAAUGGGCGGAAGCCUGAUGCAGCAACGCCGCGUGCGGGAUGACGGCCUGCGGGUUGUAAACCGCUUUCGCCUGUGACGAAGCGUGAGUGACGGUAAUGGGUAAAGAAGCACCGGCUAACUACGUG